UUUACAUCGAGAGCAGAGAGGUAGAGGAGAGGGGAGAGAUGGAGAGGGAAAUGAAUGUAGUUAUAUUUCCCAUCUUUUUCUCUUCAGAACUUCAUCUCAUCAGUAGUGUC
rnacentral:pre_miRNA from 1 species